rnacentral:rRNA from 1 species
CAGGGAUUCCCUUAGUAAGGGCGACUGAACAGGGAAGAGCCCAGCGCAGAACCUCCCGGGCCUAACAGCCUGCGGCGGAAUGUUGCGUUAAGGGAGAGGUCGUUUUAAAACCCCACAGCCACGCGAUCGCUAAGUCCUGCCACGAGUGGCGUUCCCGACGAAAGGAGGGAUUGUGGCGCCGUGGAGGGUGACAGUCCCGUGUGGACGCGUGCGAUUUGCUGUGCUCGGGUCAGGCCUUUCUCCCUGUGAGUCGCGUUGCUUGCACAUGCAGCGCUAAGCAGGUCGUAAACUCGAUCUAAGGCUAAAUAUAUCCACAGGACCGAUAGUGAACAAGUACCGUAAGGGAAAGUUGAAAAGAACUCUGGAGAGAGAGUCAAAAGACCGUGAAACCGCUCAGAGUACAAGCCGAUGGCGCUGGAAGGCAACCGGUGGCACGGUGGCGUUGGCUACGGCUGGCGCUGCCCGAAAUGCUUGUGGAAGGCUAGUUGGGCAGAGUAGCGCCUGAGCGUUGCUCAUACCCAUUGCAGGCGAGAUUGUUCAUGGGCUUUGUUCACAGGCUUUGCGGCCUUGCAUCGCUCCUCUGGCAAUUUCGUGCUGGGCGAACCUCUCGAAGCAUCACACGGUCAUUGCCCACCACAGCUCGUUGCUUGGUCACCCGCAGAGUCUUGAUGUGCGCGUUUCAUCCAGUAUCCGGGCUAUUGAAGUUGACGCGUGGAUGAGCAAAAUCCCGCACGGAGGGCUUGUCCGUGUUUGUGGAUUAUGGCUCGCGUCACGCCUGUGGUAUCUGGCUCUGAAUGUGCCGACUCGUUUGUGUGUGGACGUGGUGUGAUCCAUUCGGCGACGAAGCUGCAAUUGGCCAGACACAUACAGCUCCCAACCCGCCCGUCAUGUGCCGACGGGCAGGUACCUGCGGGCAGGCUGCUUGCGUCGCAUGCGAAGCAUACGCUCAGCCUGGGAUGCUGGUCUGAUUGGUGAUGUUCUGGCGACCAUCGGUCACGUCUCGAAACACGGGCCAAGGAGUAUAGCAUGUGUGCAAGUCUAAGGGUCUCACAAAACCCGAGGGCGAAGUGAAAGCAAAGGUGUGGCGGCGCUCUUGCUGCGCCGUCAGCCGUGUGUCCUUGUGACGCUGGUUGCUAGUACCGAGCUGAUCCUGUUUUCCCAUGCUAGGGACAGGCGCAAGCUCCGGGCUCACGAUUGUUUGUUCGGCAAGCUUUUCUCCUUCACGGGAGUUGCGCGNGCUGGACGGUGAGCACCGCGGAGCACAUAUGCUAUGACCCGAAAGAUAGUGAACUAUGCCUGGCGAGGGUGAAGCCCCAGGAAACUGGGGUGGAGGCCCGUAGCCGUUGUGACGUGCAAAUCCAUGGCGUCAGUUGGGCAUAGGGGCGAAAGACCAAUCGAACUAU